GAUGAACGCUGGCGGCGUGCUUAACACAUGCAAGUCGAACGGAAAGGCUCCUGCUUGCAGGGGUACUCGAGUGGCGAACGGGUGAGUAACACGUGGGUGAUCUGCCCUGCACUUCGGGAUAAGCCUGGGAAACUGGGUCUAAUACCGGAUAGGACGAUGGUUUGGAUGCCAUUGUGGAAAGUUUUUCGGUGUGGGAUGAGCUCGCGGCCUAUCAGCUUGUUGGUGGGGUAAUGGCCUACCAAGGCGUCGACGGGUAGCCGGCCUGAGAGGGUGUACGGCCACAUUGGGACUGGGUAACGACCAAGCCCCCUACGGGGGGCAGCGGGGGGGAAAAUUGCAAAAGGGGGGCAAGCCUGAGGCAGCGACGCCGCGGGGGGGAUGCCGGCCUUCGGGUUGUAAACUCCUUCCGCUGGGGACGAAGCGCAAGGGACGGUACCGGGGGAAGAAGACCCGGCUAACUACG
rnacentral:rRNA from 1 species